rnacentral:rRNA from 1 species
CUUCCGAUGGCGACCGGCGCACGGGUGAGUAACACGUAUCCAACCUGCCGAUAACUCGGGGAUAGCCUUUCGAAAAGAAAGAUUAAUAUCCGAUAGGAUAUCAAGGUCGCAUGAUCUUGAUAUUAAAGAAUUUCGGUUAUCGAUGGGGAUGCGUUCCAUUAGUUAGUUGGCGGGUAACGGCCCACCAAGACGACGAUGGAUAGGGGUUCUGAGAGGAAGGUCCCCCACAUUGGAACUGAGACACGGUCCAAACUCCUACGGGAGGCAGCAG